UACGGAAGAUGCGAGCGUUAUCCGGAUUUAUUGGGUUUAAAGGGAGCGUAGGCGGGCUUUUAAGUCAGCGGUCAAAUGUCGUGGCUCAACCAUGUCAAGCCGUUGAAACUGCAAGCCUUGAGUCUGCACAGGGCACAUGGAAUUCGUGGUGUAGCGGUGAAAUGCUUAGAUAUCACGAAGAACUCCGAUCGCGAAGGCAUUGUGCCGGGGCAUAACUGACGCUGAGGCUCGAAAGUGCGGGUAUCAAACAGGAUUAGAAACCCGGGUAGUGCUGACUGACU
rnacentral:rRNA from 1 species